UGAUAUAACUGGAAAUGUGUGUUUCAGUCCCAUGAUCAAAAAGGUGUUUUUCCCAGGGUAAGGCCUGAACCUUGCACUCUGGGCAGGAUGACCCCCAUGAGUUUCCCUAAAUGUGGGAAACUUGACUGCACAGUUUUGUGUAAAUGGGAGACCAUGUUCUUGCUUUCUCU